AUUAGGAAUCUUGCACAAUGGGCGAAAGCCUGAUGCAGCGACGCCGCGUGAGGGAUGACGGCCUUCGGGUUGUAAACCUCUUUUAUCGGGGAAGAAGAAUGUGACGGUACCCGAGGAAUAAGCCCCGGCUAACUACGUGCCAGCAGCCGCGGUAAUACGUAGGGGGCGAGCGUUGUCCGAAGUUACUGGGCGUAAAGCGCGCGUAGGCGGCUUUUUAAGUCUGGUGUGAAAGGUUCAGGGCUCAACCCGAACAGUGCACUGGAUACUGGAGAGCUUGAGUUAGGGAGAGGAGAGUGGAAUUCCUGGUGUAGCGGUGAAAUGCGUAGAUAUCAGGAGGAACACCGAUGGCGAAGGCAGCUCUCUGGCCUAUAACUGACGCUGAGGUGCGAAAGCGUGGGGAGCAAACGG
rnacentral:rRNA from 1 species